GCCACUGUAGAGACCCAGGAAAGAACCAAUGAAGGCCAUGGCCAUGGAGAUGGAGGAUGGCAACUGUGGAAGACUAGAAGCACAUUGAUGUGAUGGCAAAGUCCAUUUGCACUGUUUAUUUAAAAAGAACAGCCGUAAGAGUUCAAGGCUUGGACCUGCAGAGAAACAGCG